rnacentral:lncRNA from 1 species
CCAUCUUCUGAACUCCAUGCGAGAAAACUCCAUUACUCCCAGAUACUGUUGGAUCUUCCACCAGCAGCUAUGAAAAACACAAAACUAUCAGUCAUUGUCAAAUACUCCAUAAAUGGAGACAGAGAAGGGGUUCAGUUCUCUGUGUAACAAGGACAGAGGAGAAAGCCAUACCAAGUAAUAUAGGCAGUUGCAACAUCCAUGAACAGUUGUUAAUUGGAGCACAAGGGGCAUCUGCAGUGUCAAAUCUACAGAGACAAGUGCACCUGGAGACAAAUGACCAGACUACCAUAAAACAGAAGCUUAAUUAUGUUCACUUACAUUUUCAAAUUAUUCCCAACAAAUUACCCUG